UCAAUGGCAGAAACAAUGCAAUAGAAUUAGAAUCUAAAUAUUUCCCA
rnacentral:tRNA from 1 species